AGUGAACGCUGGCGGUAGGCCUAACACAUGCAAGUCGAACGGCAGCACAGUAAGAGCUUGCUCUUACGGGUGGCGAGUGGCGGACGGGUGAGGAAUACAUCGGAAUCUACUUUUUCGUGGGGGAUAACGUAGGGAAACUUACGCUAAUACCGCAUACGACCUACGGGUGAAAGCAGGGGAUCUUCGGACCUUGCGCGAUUGAAUGAGCCGAUGUCGGAUUAGUUAGUUGGCGGGGUAAAGGCCCACCAAGGCGACGAUCCGUAGCUGGUCUGAGAGGAUGAUCAGCCACACUGGAACUGAGACACGGUCCAGACUCCUUCGGGAGGCAGCAGUGGGGAAUAUUGGACAAUGGGCGCAAGCCUGAUCCAGCCAUACCGCGUGGGUGAAGAAGGCCUUCGGGUUGUAAAGCCCUUUUGUUGGGAAAGAAAAGCAGCAGGUUAAUACCCCGCUGUUCUGACGGUACCCAAAGAAUAAGCACCGGCUAACUUCGUG
rnacentral:rRNA from 1 species